rnacentral:rRNA from 1 species
CUACNAUUUUUAACUUAAAACCCRAAGGACUUGACNGUGACCCACCCAGACUAGAGGAGCCUGUUCUAUAAUCGAUGGUCCCCGCUAUCACCUAACCCCCUCUUGCUUUCCAGUCUGUAUACCUCCGUCGUAAACUCACCAUGUGAAUGACACAUAUUUCANUUAAAAGGUCUUUUUACCAACNCUUCNGGUCAAGGUGCAGCCAACNAGGGGGCAAAAAAUGGGCUACAAUUUCUAAUUNAAAACAAACGGAAUNCUGCAUGAAACACAGUUAAAAAGGAGGAUCUAGUAAUAAAAAGAANUUUUUUUGUUCUCUUAAAUACGGCCCUGGGAUACUUACACACCCCCCGUCACC